rnacentral:tRNA from 1 species
GGCACGCUGGUAUAGCGGUUAGAACGCUGGCCUUGUAAUCCUGGGGUCUCGGGUUCGAUUCCCGGCGGUGCCC